GGUUAAACGAAUCAAUAAAAGUUAAGUGAAUAAAUACACCGUCAUAUCUGAAAAUACACAAUCUACAGUGUUUAUCAAAUCAGAAAUGUAUUUAGGUGUCAUAGCAGAGCUGUAGCUCUAUGAUAUUGAAUUAUGAUAAAAUACUGUAAUUAAUAGACUUAUUAACAGGCUCUACAGCACAGGAGAGUAUUUACAGAACUAAUCUGCUGGAAUUGAGGUUUCAAACAACUGAUGACUAUAAUAUUUGAAUAAUACUGCUGCAAAAGAUGUUUGGCAUGUGUUGAUCUACCUUAAUAUAUAAGAUAAAACGUCUCAAAACAAGGGUCACCUGACUGGAAACAUUGGCACUGGAAAAGAGCAAGUUUAUGAGAAAUUUAAACCUUUAACCCCAUCCUGAACCCUGAAUAAUGAAUUAAUGGAAAAAGACACAGAUUACUAAGAAAUAAAGCCACUGAUUCACUGGAUCUCACGAAGGUUAUAAUUCACAACAAGUCCAGUGAAUGAAUUUUGAUAGUUUGGCAAGGGAUGAGGACGAGCGGUUUGAGUUGAACUGUAGGAUGUGCUCGUUUAAGAAUGACAAUGUCAUUUACUUACCCUCAUGUUUUUCUGUAGGACACAAAAAUGAGAUGUUAAGAUUCUUUAAGAAGAAAAGAAAGCCUCAUACCUUUGGGCUGCACAAAAUUUUUUUUCAAAUUCAAAUUUGAAAUUUGUGGUUUAAAAUGCUAUUUUAAA